rnacentral:rRNA from 1 species
GAAAUCCUGAAGCAGCAACGCCGCGUGGAGGAUGAAGGGUCUAUGACUUGUAAACUCCUGUAAAGAAGGAAAAAAUUCCCAUUUGAUGGGAGAUGAUGGUACUUCUGGAGUAAGCCCCGGCUAACUACGUGCCAGCAGCCGCGGUAAUACGUAGGGGGCAAGCGUUGUCCGGAUUUACUGGGUGUAAAGGGUGCUCAGGCGGAUUUGUAAGUAAGAGGUGAAAUCUUACAGCUUAACUGUGAAACUGCCUUUGAUACUGCAAGCCUAGAGUAUGGAAGAGAGUGAUGGAAUAUCUGGUGUAGCAGUGAAAUGCGUAGGUAUCAGAUAGAACACCAAUGGCGAAGGCAGUCACUUGGUCCAUUACUGACGCUAAAGCACGAAAGCGUGGGUAGC